rnacentral:lncRNA from 1 species
ACUUAUCAAGGACUUCGUCUUUGUGGNCACUACUCGUUGUAUUUAGUUUGGUAUUGCUACUGCACAUGACUUCGAGAGUCAUGAUGAUAUUACUGAAGAACAUCUUUAUUAGAAUAUUUUUGCUUCUCACUUCGGUCAAUUAGCAAUAAUUUUUCUGUGGACUUUCGAAAAUCUAUUUCAUGUAGUUUAGCAAGGAAAUUUUGAAUCAUGGGUACAGGACCCUUUACAUGUAAGACCUAUUGCUUAUGCAAUUUGGGAUCCUCAUUUUGGUCAAACGGCUGUGGAAGCUUUUACUCGAGGAGGUACUCUUGGCCCAAUGAAUAUUGCUUAUUUUGGUGUUUGUCAGUGGUGUAUACAAUCGGUUUAUGCCCUAAUGAAGAUCUUUAUACUGGUGCUCUUUUUCUAUUAUUUUUUCUUCCAUAUCCUUAAUAGCAGGUUGGUUACACCUACAACCAAAAUGGAAAUCGAGCGUUUCGUGGUUCAAAAAUGUCGAAUCUCAUCUAAAUCAUCGUUUGUCAGGACUCUUUGACGUAAGCUCCUUGGCUUUGAGCAUUUAGUACAUGUCGCUAUUCCUAGAUCCAAAGGGGAGUAUGUUAGCUGGCACCUU